UACAGAGGUCUCAACCGUUGUUCGGAUUCAUUGGGCGUAAAGGGUGCGUAGGCGGUCGUGCAAGUCGGAUGUGAAAUCUCAGGGCUCAACCCUGAAACUGCAUUCGAUACUGCGCGGCUAGAGUGCUGGAGGGGAGACUGGAAUCUACGGUGUAGCAGUGAAAUGCGUAGAUAUCGUAAGGAAGACCAGUGGCGAAGGCGAGUCUCUGGACAGCAACUGACGCUGAGGCACGAAGGCCAGGGGAGCAAACGGG
rnacentral:rRNA from 1 species